UACGUAGGGUGCGAGCGUUGUCCGGAAUUAUUGGGCGUAAAGAGCUUGUAGGCGGUCUGUCGCGUCUGCUGUGAAAAUCCGGGGCUCAACCCCGGACUUGCAGUGGGUACGGGCAGACUAGAGUGUGGUAGGGGAGACUGGAAUUCCUGGUGUAGCGGUGGAAUGCGCAGAUAUCAGGAGGAACACCGAUGGCGAAGGCAGGUCUCUGGGCCGUAACUGACGCUGAGGAGCGAAAGCGUGGGGAGCGAACAGG
rnacentral:rRNA from 1 species